rnacentral:lncRNA from 1 species
UUUCAGCAAAAUGAAGAAAAGGAAGAAGUUGGAGUGACUCCCUAAGCAAAACAACUGCUUAAAGAUUAAAGACGCACAGAGCACUUCUCCUGAAGGGCAGUCAACCAGAAUUCUGGAGUCAAAAGCAAGCAGCUGAAGAAUCUAGAAGGCUGAGGAACAUACGGCUGAAGGAGUUUCAUAGAAACAGAACAAAGUCCAAGUGUGCUGGUGGAAACAUAGACAGACUAAAGAAAAGCAGGGAAGCCUCUGCCAUGCAUCUCAGACAUUAACAGAUGACAUUCACAGCUUUUGGCAGGACCUUGCAGUACACAGAAACUGAGUGGAGGGGCCUGAGGAAAGGUGUCAGCCAUUUGCCACACUGUCAUACAGGAACCAGGACUAUGAGUGCAAGAGAUAUGCAAACAACCGAGAUUGGAGCUGUUCACCUGUGUCUACAUUACAGGGCAGAGAGUCAAACUCAGAGUCUCACAAAGGAGAACAAGACUGUGAAUACUGUAUUCUCAUGAGAAGAACAAUCCGGAGUCUGAACAAACAGUCCCUCGCAGAGGAUAAAGCUUGAGAGUGACAAGAUGCCGACAGAUUAUGACAGCUGCUGUGCUGCCUGACCUGGAACAUUUAUGCAGUUUCUAAAAGUGCAUAGGAAGCACAUUUUAUCAUCGCAUCCAGGGCAUCAACCUUAUAUUUUGAGGUGUUCAUUACCCACAAUCCCAUGGGCUCUGGGAAGACAUCAAAACUGGAGUUCAUUAGUUAACAUUUUAAAAGGACACGAUUUGAAGAUGCUCCCCCCAGGUGCCCUGAUUUCAGCAAAUUUUGCUUCAUAUGCCAAGUGCUGAAAACAGCUAACACCACUAUUAUUAUCCACAAGGAAAUCCACCCACCACGCGGACCUGUGCCAAGGAACCAGUCUGAAAUGCUGACAGCAUCGCAAGGCUUUCCAACUGCAGGGACACGGAAGCAGCUGCGGUUUUCCUCACCAACGCAGAUGGCAAAAAGGGAGUGUGUUUGUUGGUACUCAAGAGGGUGGUUACAGGAUGGGAAAGCCGGAAAGAACUUCUGCAGAUGUACCCAGCCAUGCAGCAGUUAGUUCCAAAUACUAGUUACUUGCCUCUCACAUCUCCCACCUGCUCCUUGUCUGAUUGCUCGUUCUCGAAUCCUUCAGUUACCAUCUACCCAAUGAUCCAUGCUGUAAAACUGCAAAAUUUGGAUUUUCCUGUCCACUGUCCAUCAGAGUGAGAAAACUUCAACUCCAUCCUUCACCUCUGGCUCACACCUAUACUCCCCUGCCCUCACAUUUCUCUAGAUGCCUGCUGGAGGGUUUCCUUAGGUUUGUGUUUGAUCUUAAUGAAUUAUUAAGACAGUAUUCUAUCUUUAGUAAUGAUGUGAUGAUGUGUUAGAGAGACUUGAUGUUGGAAAACCCAAACCAUUAAUUUAGAAAAUAAAAAAUAAAA